rnacentral:rRNA from 1 species
UACGUAGGGUGCAAGCGUUGCCCGGAUUUAUUGGGCGUAAAGGGCGCGUAGGCGGCCACGCACGUCCGUUGUGAAAUCGCCCGGCUCAACUGGGCGGGGUCGGCGGAUACGGCGUGGCUGGAGCAAGCUAGGGGGCAAUGGAAUUCCCGGUGUAGUGGUGGAAUGCGUAGAUAUCGGGAGGAACACCAGUGGCGAAGGCGGUUGCCUGGAGCUUUGCUGACGCUGAGGCGCGAAAGCGUGGGGGAGCGAUCCGG